CAUUAGAUGACUGAAAGUAAGUAAUGGUCUCUUAAACCAAAAUAUAGUAAUUUAACAACUACUUCUAAUGA
rnacentral:tRNA from 1 species